CCUACGGGGGGCAGCAGUGGGGAAUAUUGCACAAUGGGGGAAACCCUGAUGCAGCAAUGCCGCGUGAGUGAAGAAGUAUUUCGGUAUGUAAAGCUCUAUCAGCAGGGAAGAAGAUGACGGUACUUGAGUAAGAAGCCCCGGCUAACUACGUGCCAGCAGCCGCGGUAAUACGGAGGGGGCAAGCGUUAGCCGGAAUUACUGGGUGUAAAGGGAGCGCAGACGGUGUGACAAGUCGGAUGUGAAAGCCCGGGGCUCAACCCGGGGACUGCUUUGGAAACUGCCAGACUGGAGUGCUGGAGAGGCGGGUAGAAUUCCUGGUGUAGCGGUGAAAUGCGUAGAGAUUAGGAGGAACACCAGUGGCGAAGGCGGCUUGCUGGACAAUGACUGACGUUGAGGCGCGAAAGCGUGGGGAGCAAACAGGAUUAGAUACCCCAGUAGUC
rnacentral:rRNA from 1 species